rnacentral:rRNA from 1 species
UGGCUCGAGGACGACGCUGGCGGCGUGCCUAAUACAUGCAAGUUGAGCGAUGAAGAUUGGUGCUUGCACCAAUUUGAAGAGCAGCGAACGGGUGAGUAACGCGUGGGGAAUCUGCCUUUGAGCGGGGGACAACAUUUGGAAACGAAUGCUAAUACCGCAUAAUAACUUUAAACAUAAGUUUUAAGUUUGAAAGAUGCAAUUGCAUCACUCAAAGAUGAUCCCGCGUUGUAUUAGCUAGUUGGUGAGGUAAAGGCUCACCAAGGCGAUGACACAUAGCCGACCUGAGAGGGUGAUCGGCCACAUUGGGACUGAGACACGGCCCAA